rnacentral:rRNA from 1 species
CCCUCAAGAUGAGAUUUCCCAACUUCGGUUAUAAGAUCCCUCAAAGAUGAUGAGGUUAAUAGGUUCGAGGUGGAAGCAUAGUGAUAUGUGGAGCUGACGAAUACUAAUCGAUCGAAGACUUAAUCAAUUUUAAU